GGCAGGAAAUCACUGGGCACCUGCACCUUGUGGCGCAUAGUGCUCAGAGCUAUACAAUUCACUUGACUAUGUCAGUGAAAAUGUGGGGAGCUGGUGCCGAUCAAGGAGGAAUACUACAAACUUCUUCUUGCAAAUACGAUCUUAAAGAGCCAUACUACCGGUUAUCGCAACCACAACCAUAUGUGGCGGCACAGGAUCAGCA
rnacentral:misc_RNA from 1 species